rnacentral:sRNA from 1 species
AAACAUGGCAUGUGAU